UGAUAGACAAAAUGUCAAUAAGAAAAAACCUCAGGGAAAAUCAAAGUCCUAGCCAUUCUCUUUAUUUUCCAUUAAGUUUAAAAGGUUUUAAAUCAUUUGUGUUAUUAGAAUAUCGCUGUUAGUACAUAGAUUCCAUGACCACUAAAAUUUCUGUGCAAUACGGUGACUUUUUGGUUUUUAUGUCGGAGCAACGGAGACCGGAAGCGCUGAAAGUACAGUAUACCUCCUGUGAGUCUCCGGCUUCUAAUUUAAAGGAACCUUUGGUCACCGGAUGGUAUAAAAACCGCGAAAGGAUCCAAUCAGAUUAGAAGAGGCCAAAGUACUGUGCGCCUACCAAUUUAUAAUAAAUGUUACCGGUUUCAAUGAUGUAAUUUGAAUUGGAAGCAAGUGGAAAAAUCUUUCGGUCCAGAUGAGCAUGAACAACGACGAAAGUUGAGUAUUUUUCCAGCAGACCAGACCCUUCCUUAUUUCGGAAAAUUCACUUCGGCGAUUAUUAAAAAGGCAAUAAACAAGAAGAAAUGCAUGAUCUGGACGAGGAUUCUUAUCCUCACGUGAAGUUUCGAAGUCAUCACAACCAUAAAAAGAUAAAGCAACAUUCCGUUCUGAAUACAAACAGGAACAAGGGGGCUAGGGUUGGAAAACGGUGCAUCUUAACUGAGUGUCAACGGAAACAUCCUACAGAUGAAGACGUAAAUGGAGAAUCAAAGCUUUUUCAAAGAUUAUAUCAAGGACUCGGAGUCUACAAUCACACACAUGCAGAUCAAACGGAGUAUAUUGAAGGAGCCAGAAGUAUCGACGAAUAUGUGUGGUGUUUAACUUGAAUUGUUUGUCUUAUGUGAACGAACAACAUUAAAACAAAUUUAAUAAA